rnacentral:rRNA from 1 species
GUUUGGACUUUCAGUAAGCAGGGAAGGUCUAUUGAGGUGUUGGGAGCCAAAGGAGGUGGGGAGCUAGGACGUUCACCUAACGGGCGGUUUGGAGUAGGUAAAGUAGAGUGCGACUAGCCGGCUUCGAAGGGCACCUACGAGAUAUGCGUUAAAAGAUCGGGCACGUAGUGUGUGGUGGUGGAGGCAGCCAGGUGGGGGAGGCAGGUGUGGGGUCGUGGCGGCCUAGUGGAGGUCUAGGGUCUAACGUCGAGGUGGGGGCCAGAGGAACGUUCGAGACUCCACGAAGCUUAAAAGAAUGAGGACCACCUAGGUCAGAGAGCACUCGACCUCUAGGAAGAUGUCGCCGGUCGACUGGUAUAACGGUGACUGGUGCCCAACACCAACUUUUGUUGAUCGAAUAUUUUAAGUUAUCAGCUUCGGUAUUGGCGCUCGGUAGGUCAUUUUAGAUGUUCUACCUUCCUGCUAAAGGAAGGUCUCUAUAAUGUUUACAAGUAGGAUGCUGAAGUGGUUUUCCCUUGGUCAAUCGACAGUAACCUCUCGUCUCACCAGGAAAUCGACUUUGGUUUUCACAAUACGUUUACUUAAGAUGGGUCGCAUUCGCAAUGGCGCUGGCCCUAUCUAUAGACGUUUACUGAGGUAUAAUCUCCCUUCGGAUAAACGCUUCCUUAGCACUCAUAUUCUCUUACUCCGCACACACGUCACGUUCGACAUGGUUAUGUCUUGGUCGUAGUCUUGUCUCUUAAAGUCAUCGAUUAUUCUUGUGUACGUACUGUCCUUUCCUUCAGCCCCGGUCAAGUUAGAUACUCUUCGUACUAAGUCAUAAAUCAGUUCAUCCCAGAAGCUUUCCGUUUGUUCCAACACUAUGUAUUAAUUAAUUGUCUAUAGAUGAUAGUUUUAUUCACUCGUGUAUAGUUAAAAAAUACUAUCGGUAACCCGAAGUCUUCAUAUACGUUCUAUGACUGUAAAAGGACAAAACUGUAUGUUGUCUUUGUAAAGCAGUUGUAUUCACCCGUGUUUGGUCAAAGGAAAAAAAAUUACUAAUGAUUAUGAUUAGACUACGCGGACCCGUCGUUGUGGUACUCGGUCGCGUGACGUGGGAGAUGAUUAAAAGUCCUUGAAUGUGUCCUCUAUUUAGUUCUUCCUUUAAAUGCUUGUAGUCGUGUCUACAACAUCGAAGAUGGACGACCACGAUGUAGUCUCAAUCGUCUUAGUCUAAGCUUGAGUUGUCCCCUUCACGUUACUAGGUCGUAGUUGACGUGUAGUUUGAAGUUUCACAAGAGUGAAGUAUCAAAAAGUCGUAGCUUUGUUAAGAGUUCAAGGACCAAUCGUCGUUUCCCCUAGAGCGGUACUUUAAGUCUCUUCAACUUCAUGAGUGCCACGACGACGGACGACUCAUGGCAUACAACUACGUCACUACGACCAGCCACGAUGAGCGGUCGAGUUAUCGCCUUCUCGGCACCUCUGCACUUCACACGCCGGACGGCCGCACACGACAAACGCCCGUACCGACAGCCUAAGUUCGCGGCGGUUCCAACAACUACUAUCAACCAGACCCGCUCGGCUCGUGAUAACGGCCUACAGACCCAGCACGCGACGGUGCCGCGGCAGCGUCAGGAGCCCAGCCACAAGCCGCCCAGCGCCUCCGUCUCUGCCCUUCUACCCGCCGCCGCGCCACGGCGAGGCCAGCUGUCAAAAAGAAAAGAAAAAGACUUCCCUUGAGGCGAGCUGUAUAAAGAAAAAAAAACACUUCGGGAUGUAUAACCUAUACGUACCAUCUUACGUAAUGUAAGGUAGAUACAGGUUCAAUAAAUCUUUCGUACGUUUACUAAUAAAAAACUUAUUUUAAACCAGGGUACUACACUGAACGUAAAAACUCUU